GUGUGAAUUGCAGAAUUCCGCGAAUCAUCGAGUUUUUGAACGCAACUUGCGCCCGAGGCUUCACCAAGGGCAUCUCUGCCAGAGCGUCACCGCGACACCCACCCGCCCCCACACUAAACUUGUGCGGGGUUCGGUGAAACUGGCCGUCCGAACGGGGGACUAUGUGCCCGCCGCGACCCGGGAGUUUCUUGCUCCUUGGCCGCUGCUCAACAUAUAUAUAUAUCCUCUCCUGUUGGGUUGGCUGAAAUCGAGGGAUUUGGGGCGCCCGUGGUCACACAGCGCGCGAUCAGGUGAUCAGUCCAAGCCUCAAAAACUUGGACUUUAACUUAAAAGUGCGCCGCUGUGUGGACAUCGUCCGGAAUAAUCCAAAGCAGGUCCCUCUCCCCCGCCGCCCCGGCGGCGGGGAGAGGAAAGAAUGUCACGCAUCAGACCUCUGAUCAGAGAAGACUACCCGCCGAGUUUAA
rnacentral:rRNA from 2 species